AACGAACGCUGGCGGCAUGCCUAACACAUGCAAGUCGAACGAGACCUUCGGGUCUAGUGGCGCACGGGUGCGUAACGCGUGGGAACCUGCCCUUAGGUUCGGAAUAACUCCCCGAAAGGGGUGCUAAUACCGGAUAAUGUCUUCGGACCAAAGAUUUAUCGCCUUUGGAUGGGCCCGCGUUGGAUUAGCUAGUUGGUAAGGUAAAAGCCUACCAAGGCAACGAUCCAUAGCUGGUCUGAGAGGAUGAUCGGCAACACUGGGACUGAGACACGGCCCAGACGCCGAGGGGAGGAAGCAGUAGGGAAUCUUACGCAAGGGGCGAAAGCCUGACGGAGAAACGGCGCGUGAGGGAUGAAGGUCUUCGGACCGUAAAACGCUGUGAUUAGGGAAGAACAUAUGGGUAAGUAACCGUGCACAUCAUGACGGGACCUAAUAAGAAAGCCACGGCUAACUACGUG
rnacentral:rRNA from 1 species